rnacentral:rRNA from 1 species
GUAGGUGGCAAGCGUUGUCCGGGAAUUAUUGGGGCGUAAAGCGCGCGCAUGCGGUUCUUUAAGUCUGAUGUGAAAGCCCACGGGCUCAACCGUGGAGGGUCAUUGGAAACUGGAGAACUUGAGUACAGAAGAGGAAAGCGGAAUUCCACGUGUAGCGGUGAAAUGCGUAGAGAUGUGGAGGAACACCAGUGGCGAAGGCGGCUUUCUGGUCUGUAACUGACGCUGAGGCGCGAAAGCGUGGGGAGCAAACAGGAUUAGAUACCCUGGUAGUCCACGCCGUAAACGAUGAGUGCUAAGUGUUAGGGGGUUUCCGCCCCUUAGUGCUGCAGCUAACGCAUUAAGCACUCCGCCUGGGGAGUACGGCCGCAAAGGCUGA